UAUUCUAGUCCAAUAAUACUCAAAGAUAUUAAGAAUUAAUAAAUUUAAUAUUUCCCCAAACUUCCGAAUUUUGCAUCACAUUGAAAUGGAAUCAAGCUGGGCUAGCUGCCAUCGGCAACAUGAAGAACCAUCACCAUCGACCCCUCUCGGCUCAGUUUGUCUCUAUUUCAGUACGUGAUUAAUCAACAUAGAAGUCGGAGGUGAUACUGGUACACCUAAUUACUCCUCCUGUCCCAUCUGCUUUACAUCAGGUUUGGCUGGUUUUUCACACUAACCCUGAGAAAAAGACCUGGAAGUUGACCCACAAGUCCGAUGUUCACAAUCAAGGAAGGAUCUCUACAUGAAUUGAUCCUUGAAGAUUUUUUUUUUGUGAAUAUUACUUUUGCCAGCGGUUUCUUGAAAACUGGCAGCAACAUUUUUUUUCAUGGGUCACGGGUCUCAGGCCUGACCACAGUAAGCAGAAGUGGAAAGUAAGUCGAAGAUUAAAUGCCGGUGCAUCUGACCUCCUUCUCUGGCACAGAACUCAGCUGUGAUUCUAAAAACAGAAAGUUCAAGAGCACAGAUGCACAUUGCAUCCAAGGAUGACCUGUGUGUGUAGUGCAUCUCUGUUUGCCAGCCUUCACUGGAAAUGUGCAGGUUGUGCUUCAUAUACAGAGAUGGCACCAUGACAUGUCAGUUUCUUUACC